AUCCCUUCCUGCUUGAAGGCUUCCAAAGGUGUGGAAACCAUGAAUAGAACUCAGCUGUGUCCAAUCUGAAAAUAAAACUAAAAAGUAUUUGCAUCAGGCUCCUUCCUGCUUACAGGAAGCAUCCCACAGACUGGGAAUGGGCACUCAGAAAGCAGGAGGUGAAGAAAAUGACCCACUAUUUGAGCAAGCCAUCAAUGAAGUAAUGCUCUUGUAAUUCUGGAAACCAGAAGGGACCCGUUGAACAGGUACAUCUAUCUCUGAGAGCAGAACUCAAUGUUGAGAAGCAAAAGUUGCUCAUAUAAUGACAGGGACAAUCUCUCUCUACCACCAGUCAUCUGGGACAACGUCAUGGUCCCCUUGGUACCGAUCAGCUUGAGCCAGAUUUGGAAUGCUCAUUUGCACAGAUGCUGGCCCAUAGGCCUACUACUAAUUUCAGCUGGAUCAGUUACCCUGCACUGGUAGAGUCAAACUCAGUUAUAACUGAACUGAUUCUAACUGAAUGACAAAAGUGCUCUUUAUUAUC